AUUGAACGCUGGCGGCAGGCCUAACACAUGCCAGUCGAGCGGAUGAAGGGAGCUUGCUCCUGGAUUCAGCGGCGGACGGGUGAGUAAUGCCUAGGAAUCUGCCUGGUAGUGGGGGAUAACGUCCGUAAACGGGCGCUAAUACCGCAUACGUCCUGAGGGAGAAAGUGGGGGAUCUUCGGACCUCACGCUAUCAGAUGAGCCUAGGUCGGAUUAGCUAGUUGGUGGGGUAAAGGCCUACCAAGGCGACGAUCCGUAACUGGUCUGAGAGGAUGAUCAGUCACACUGGAACUGAGACACGGUCCAGACUCCUACGGGAGGCAGCAGUGGGGAAUAUUGGACAAUGGGCGAAAGCCUGAUCCAGCCAUGCCGCGUGUGUGAAGAAGGUCUUCGGAUUGUAAAGCACUUUAAGUUGGGAGGAAGGGCAGUAAGUUAAUACCUUGCUGUUUUGACGGUACCAACAGAAUAAGCACCGGCUAACUUCGUG
rnacentral:rRNA from 1 species